rnacentral:rRNA from 1 species
GACGAACGCUGGCGGCGUGCUUAACACAUGCAAGUCGAACGCUGAAGCCCUUCGGGGUGGAUGAGUGGCGAACGGGUGAGUAACACGUGGGUAAUCUGCCCUGCACUCUGGGAUAAGCCUUGGAAACGGGGUCUAAUACCGGAUAGGACACAUCGCCGCAUGGUGUGUGUGUGGAAAGUUCCGGCGGUGCAGGUUGAGCCCGCGGCCUAUCAGCUUGUUGGUGGGGUGAUGGUCUACCAAGGCGACGACGGGUAGCCGGCCUGAGAGGGUGACCGGCCACACUGGGACUGAGACACGGCCCAGACUCCUACGGGAGGCAGCAGUGGGGAAUCUUGCGCAAUGGGCGAAAGCCUGACGCAGCAACGCCGCGUGGGGGAUGACGGCCUUCGGGUUAUAAACCUCUUUCGACCGGGACGAAGGAUUCGUUUGACGGUACCGGUAGAAGAAGCACCGGCUAACUACGUGCCAGCCGCCGCUGUAAAAC